rnacentral:rRNA from 1 species
AACGAACGCUGGCGGCAUGCCUAACACAUGCCAGUCGAACGAGACCUUCGGGUCUAGUGGCGCACGGGUGCGUAACGCGUGGGAACCUGCCCUUAGGUUCGGAAUAACUCCCCGAAAGGGGUGCUAAUACCGGAUAAUGUCUUCGGACCAAAGAUUUAUCGCCUUUGGAUGGGCCCGCGUUGGAUUAGCUAGUUGGUAGGGUAAAAGCCUACCAAGGCGACGAUCCAUAGCUGGUCUGAGAGGAUGAUCAGCCACACUGGGACUGAGACACGGCCCAGACUCCUACGGGAGGCAGCAGUGGGGAAUAUUGGACAAUGGGCGAAAGCCUGAUCCAGCGAUGCCGCGUGAGUGAUGAAGGCCUUAGGGUUGUAAAGCUCUUUUACCCGGGAUGAUAAUGACAGUACCGGGAGAAUAAGCUCCGGCUAACUCCGUG